UCAGGAUGGUCUUGAUCUCCUGACCUCGUGAUCCACCUGCCUCGGCCUCCCAAAGUGCUGGGAUUACAGGUGUAAGCCACCGCGCCCGGCCUAAAUUCUUCCUAUGUUAUUAAGUAUGUGACCUUCGGUAGUUGCAUAAUUUCUCCAAUUUGUUUCCAACUCUGAAAACUGAAAUAAUAAUGGCCCCCUUCUAUAUAAACCAUAUUUUCUUCUUUUCUUUUCUUUUUUUUUUUUUUUUUGAGACAGAGUCUUGCUCUGUCGCCAGGCUGGAGUGCAGUGGCGUGAUCCGUGAUCUUGGCUCACUGGAACCUCCGCCUCCCGGGUUCAAGCGAUUCUCCUGCCUCAGCCUCCCAAGUAGCUGGGACUACAGGUGCGUGCCACCACACCCAGCUAAUUUUGUAUUUUUAGUAGAGAUGGGGUUUCACCAUUGUUGGCCAGAAUGGUCUCGAUCUCCUGACCUCGUGAUCCGCUCGCCUCAGCCUCCCAAAGUGCUGGGAUUACAGGCAUAAGCCACCGCGCCCCAACCCUAUUUUCUUAUUUUCUAUAUUUCUGAGGCUCUGGCAUCUGGGGCCUCACUAACUGGGGAGAAACUGCCCCUCCCCAGGCUAGCCAGUUCUUAAGAGACAGCAAACCACUCACCCAGGAGCACAUCUUUCAUACAUAAACUAAACAAUCCAGAUCCCACACUGAGAACCACCUCUUCUAUCUGCCUUUUACACUCCAGAAGGCAGCAGUCCUCUGCCUUCAUCAUCCCAGGACCAGGUACAAGACAACUAGAGAUAGCCCCGAUACCUGAGUCCUCUGCAAUUCCUGCAGCCAGCCAAUCCAAAAUCUGCUUACCCUGCCUUCCCCACAGGAACCACAAUAAAGGCUCUGGUUCCCACGUGGUGCUUCCUAUCCUGGGGCCCCUUCCUCUUGGCGCUGUGAGUAACAAACUAUCUUUUCAGUGGCAAUUGUCUCCUGAUCUAUUGGCCUCACCAUACCUGAAUAAUAACAAAACCUACAUUGUAAAACACCUUCAAAAGGUUUUUAGAAAGAGUAGAUGUAAAAGUACUUUUUAACUACAAUAAUCCCUCCUCCAAAAUCAGAGAUUUAAAGGUAAAACCAAAAAUAACAAAAGUGCCAGAGGAAAAAAAUAGGACAAUAUCUGUAUAAAUUUAUAUGGAAUAGACAACAGACAGGUAUCAUAUAUAAAAAGAACUGCUUUAAAAAUAUAAAACUUUGAUGUGACAAAAACAAAAGAAAGCAGAAAUGUAAGACAUAAACAGAAAAUGUGGGUCAGGCAUGGUGGCUCACACCUAUUAUCCCAGUAUUUCAGGAGGCCGAGGUGGGUGGAUCACCUAAGGUCAGGAGUUCAAGAUCAGUCUGGCCAACAUGGCGAAACCCUGUCUCUACUAAAAAUACAAAAAUUAACCAGGCGUGGUGGUGCAUGCCUGUAGUCCCAGCUACUCAGGAGGCGAAGGCAGGAAAAUCACUUGAAUCCAGGAGGUGAAGGUUACAGUGAGCUGAGAUUGUGCCACUGCACUCCAGCCUGCAUGACAGAGUGAGACUCUGUCUCAAAAAAAAAAAAAGAAAGAAAGAAAACUCAGAAAAUGUGGAAAAAGCAUUUGCAACCCAUGACAGAAAAAGGAUUAAUAUCUUUAGAAGUGUCUCACAUAUUCUGGUUAGGAGUCCUUUGUGAGAUAUAUGCGUUGUAAAUAUCUUCUCCCAGUCAGUAGCUUGCUUUUUCACUCCAAAAGUCACCUUUUUAUAAAAAGUUCUUUAUUUUAAUGAAGUCCAAUUUAUUGAUCUUUUCUUUUAUGGUGAUUGCUAUGUUCAAUGUAAGAAAUCCUCAUUUGGGCUGGCCGCAGUGGCUCAUGCCUGUAAUGCCAGCAUUUUGGGAGACCGAGGCGGGCGGAUCACCUGAGGUCAGGAGUUCAAGACUGGCCUGGCCAACAUGGUAAAACCCCGUCUCUGCUAGAGAAUCACUUGAACCCAGGAAGUGGAGGUUGCAGUGAGCCGAGAUUGUGCCAUCACACUCUAGCCUGGGUGACAAGAGCUAAACUGCAUCUCAAAAAAAAAAAAAGAAAUCCUCAUCUAACUCAAGGUCAAGAAUAACGAUUAGUGGCUGGGCUCGGUGGCUCGCACCUGUAAUCCCAGCACUUUGGGAGGCCGAGGUGGGAGGACUGUUUGAGAUCAGGACUUAUAGACCAGCCUGGGCAACAUGGUGAAACCCUGUCUCUACAAACAAUACAAAAAUUAGCCGGGCAUGGUGGUGCCUGCCCAUGGUCCCAGCUACUUGGGGGCUUGAGGCAGGGGAUUGCUUGAGCCUGGGAGAUUGAAACUGCAGUGAGCCGUGAUCGCACCACUGCACUCCAGCCUGGGAGACAGAGUGGGACCCUAUCUCAAAAAACAAAACAACAACAAAAAAGAUUAGUAUCUUUAAUAUAAGACAAACUCUUUUCAUGUGUAAAUAUGAAAACCUACUAGAAAUGGGCAAAGAACACAAUAGAAAUUUCACAAAAAAGACAUGCCAGUAGCUAGCAAGCAUAUCCUCAUAAGCAUAUGCAAAAAAAAUUUUCCUCUGCUCAUAAAUUGGCAGGGAUUGUACUUAAGAAAGGAGAGAAUAAAGACAGGAAAUUAGGAGAUGGAGGGUCUAAACCAUGUCUGUGAUAUUAGGAAUAGGAAUGAUUUGAGGCACAGAGUUGGAAAAAACAAAAUAAAAAACAUCUACUGACUGCUUUCCAUGUAUUUACACUAUUUAUUUUAAUCAUUACAUCAAUCCUAUAAGUUAUUACCUCAGUUUUAAAAAUGAAAGAACAAAGAGUCUAAAGUUUAAGUAUCUUGAUUCUGGCUAUUCACUCAGCAAAUAUUUACUGAACACCUACUGUGUGUUCAGUACUGGGCGACUAAGAAACAUAAACAAACAGGUUGGGCGCG
rnacentral:lncRNA from 10 species